rnacentral:rRNA from 1 species
AGAGUUUGAUCCUGGCUCAGAGCGAACGCUGGCGGCAGGCCUAACACAUGCAAGUCGAACGGACCCUUCGGGGUUAGUGGCGGACGGGUGAGUAACACGUGGGAACGUGCCUUUAGGUUCGGAAUAGCUCCUGGAAACGGGUGGUAAUGCCGAAUGUGCCCUUAGGGGGAAAGAUUUAUCGCCUUUAGAGCGGCCCGCGUCUGAUUAGCUAGUUGGUGAGGUAACGGCUCACCAAGGCGACGAUCAGUAGCUGGUCUGAGAGGAUGACCAGCCACACUGGGACUGAGACACGGCCCAGACUCCUACGGGAGGCAGCAGUGGGGAAUCUUGCGCAAUGGGCGAAAGCCUGACGCAGCCAUGCCGCGUGAAUGAUGAAGGUCUUAGGAUUGUAAAAUUCUUUCACCGGGGACGAUAAUGACGGUACCCGGAGAAGAAGCCCCGGCUAACUUCGUGCCAGCAGCCGCGGUAAUACGAAGGGGGCUAGCGUUGCUCGGAAUUACUGGGCGUAAAGGGCGCGUAGGCGGAUCGUUAAGUCAGAGGUGAAAUCCCAGGGCUCAACCCUGGAACUGCCUUUGAUACUGGCGAUCUUGAGUAUGAGAGAGGUAUGUGGAACUCCGAGUGUAGAGGUGAAAUUCGUAGAUAUUCGGAAGAACACCAGUGGCGAAGGCGACAUACUGGCUCAUUACUGACGCUGAGGCGCGAAAGCGUGAGGAGCAAACAGGAUUAGAUACCCUGGUAGUCCACGCCGUAAACGAUGAUUGCUAGUUGUCGGGCUGCAUGCAGUUCGGUGACGCAGCUAA